ACGUAGGAGACGAGCGUUAUCCGGAUUUACUGGGCGUAAAGCGCGUGCAGGCGGUUUUUUAAGUCACUUGUGAAAGCGCCCGGCUCAACUGGGCGAGGCCGUGUGAGACUGAAAAACUGGAGAGAGGUAGAGGCGAAUGGAAUUCCGGGUGGAGUGGUGAAAUGCGUAGAGAUCGGGAGGAACACCAGAGGCGCAAGCGGGUGCCUGGGCGACGACUGACACUGAGGGACGAGAGCGUGGGGAGCGAACAG
rnacentral:rRNA from 1 species